UACGAAGGGGGCUAGCGUUGUUCGGAAUCACUGGGCGUAAAGCGCACGUAGGCGGACCGUUAAGUCGGAGGUGAAAGCCUGGGGCUCAACCCCAGAACUGCCUUCGAUACUGGCGGUCUUGAGUAUGGUAGAGGUUGGUGGAACUCCGAGUGUAGAGGUGAAAUUCGUAGAUAUUCGGAAAGAACACCAGUGGCGAAGGCGGCCA
rnacentral:rRNA from 1 species